CCUACGGGAGGCAGCAGUGGGGAAUAUUGCGCAAUGGGCGAAAGCCUGACGCAGCGACGCCGCGUGAGGGAUGAAGGUCUUCGGAUCGUAAACCUCUGUCAGCAGGGAAGAACGGUCACUGUGCUAAUCAGCAGUGAAUUGACGGUACCUGCAAAGGAAGCACCGGCUAACUCCGUGCCAGCAGCCGCGGCAAUACGGAGGGUGCGAGCGUUAAUCGGAAUUACUGGGCGUAAAGCGCUCGUAGGCGGUAUGUCAAGUCAAGGGUGAAAUCCCCGCGCUCAACGUGGGAACUGCCUUUGAAACUGGCAGACUGGAGUGUGUGAGAGGAUAGUGGAAUUCCAGGUGUAGGAGUGAAAUCCGUAGAUAUCUGGAGGAACAUCGGUGGCGAAGGCGACUAUCUGGCACAUAACUGACGCUGAGGAGCGAAAGCGUGGGUAGCGAACAGGAUUAGAUACCCGAGUAGUC
rnacentral:rRNA from 1 species